rnacentral:lncRNA from 1 species
UUCUUUCUUUCUUUCUUUCUUUCUUUCUUUCUUUCUUUCUUUCUUUCUUUUCUGGUUGGAAGGUUAAAGGAGAUUCAUAAGAUGCGCUGUCACUGUUUAAUUUUCACAGCAUGCUUAACUGUCUAUUUUUGGUCUGUUUACUCUGUUUCUUCACUACCCAGGGUCAUGUAAAGCAUGAUAAAUUGGACCUUAUGAAACCUAAUUAAAUCAAUGAGUGUUCUGGCUCCUUUAUGUGGAAACCACAAGUAUGUUGUAAAAUUCGCCACUCCCUUAAUACGUGAAAAAAAAUCAAAACAAACCAUAAUUCCAAGAUGUUUGAGCUGUAGCUCUAUAGCCCAUUUUGUGGUUAAGCCACCAGUGACAUGUCUGCCUAAGUAGGUUUGAUGAGUUGGCUUUUGGUUGUUAGAACCUGCCUCUCCACCUUCCAUUCCUGCCUUUCAAAGCAGAAUGGUCUAGCAUUGAAGCUGUUUGCAUAUCUCUCUUCAUUGUCUUACAGUUUAGAUUUAUCAGAAAAGGAACUAUUGGGCUGGUUUAAAUAGUUAUAUAAAGUACUGUUACAAUCAGUGGAAUUAUUUAAUCACUAGAAUACUGGGAAACACACAAGAAAAAAACAAAAACAAAAAUAAAAACAAACGAGUCUUAAAAACAACUGACACUGAAACAGAAAUAAAUGAAAGUCAGAUAGUUGUGUCUUAGGAUUCUUCUAUGCAGUGCGUAUUCCAAGAAGGGUUAUUUCUGUAAUAGAUAAACUCUUUUCAUUUCCAUUGCCUUGUCUUCUGAAAGAUGGUGUCUAUAAAUGGACCUGUCUAUAAUAAGAUAUCAUUCAUUUUGUUUUAUUCUCUUGUAGAAACCUUUUUUACAUGUCACUAGGGAAUCCUGACACAUUCUCUAAGUGCAUGUGAGCAGUUUAAGAACAUAUUUUGAUUAAUGACUUUUGUGGCUACAUCCCCCCACUCCCAUAAUAUAGUGCGUCCUGUGAAUUAGGGAGUGCAUUUGAUCUACAGAGGAAUGAAAGGGCAGGAAGGUCACUGGCUUUAAUGAAACAACUGAGACCAUUAUAGGUGGACAGUGUGUUGUUUUGAAAGUUACAUAUGGAUUUAGCUAAAGGUGGCUUCCUGUCAGCACCAAUCCUCCUUCCGGUUCAAUCCAAUAGACACCCUGGGAGGUGACCAAGGGGCUGUCUAAGGUGUCUGUAAGAACACACGAAUCUUGGAAUAUCGGUAUUAUCGGUUCCAUCAUUGAAUUUUGAGUUGAACAUUUGAAAUGUGUUAGGUUUGUUGGAGGAGAAAAAAAAAACUGUGAAAGUAUACACAAUUGCUCCAGAUCGAGCUAAAAAAAGAUAAUGUUCAGCUACUUUAAUAACUUGGCAAAUAGUUCAUAACACUAGGAGAGAAGGGCAGGGGGAGGGGUGGGUGUCCAAAUGUCUUAAGGUUAAGAAUAUGCUCUCAUCAAGGAAAAUUGUUUGGGUGCAAGAUGGUUUUAAUUAAAAUGUUAUAAAGACUUUUUUUUUUCCUAAGCAGCACUUUUAUAGUUAGUAAAUUGAGUGAAUGCUGAAAGUGCUAAGCAGAAAUCUCCUUAGCCACGGAGGUGUUCAAUAACCAGACUCAAACAACAGGGAGAGUACCAUCUGUUCUUGGUUUCCAGCAUGAAACACAGGGAUUGAAUGAAUGGCUGAGAUUUGCCCCAAUUUUGACAAUGUCUGUGCUUUUUUUUUUUUUUUAAAUUACAAAAAAAAAAAAGUCCACCUGGUACUUCAUAGAAAGUUGAAAUUGCAGUAACACACACACCACUGUGAAAACAUGUGUUCCCACUUUUUUUUUUUAACCAGUUCCACUUUUUUCUCUAUUUUGGGGGAGGGUUUCCUGAAGCUCAGCCAUUGGCUACUUCCUACAGCCCUCUUCUACUUUCUAGAGGCCCUCACACUGAGGGGGUCAGUGCUUCAAAGAUCUAAAUGAUCCUGUCAAUUUUCCUCCUGCAGGCUAUGGGGGAAAAGCUCCCCAGGGCUCACCCUGGUCAUCACUCUUCAUUAAACUAAUUUUGUGUGGUAGUGCUGGGCACUAGUGUUUACCAGACACGGGUCACGCUCUCAUUCAGAGCCACCUUCUAGAAUCCUUGAUAAACAACAACACACUUCUGUAAGGAUAACUCUCGAGUAUUUGGCUCUGAGAGACAGGUAUUCCUGGCUCUGGGUUUAGUGGGAACCCUGGGUAAAACAUUAUCCGGCCUUUGUUUGAGGUCUUUUAUUGAAGCUAAUGACUGGGCUUGUGCCUUCCUGAGAUAAAUGACAUUAUCUCUGAGUGGGCUGACAGGAAGCAGACAUGUUAAUGGUGAAUCUGCAGGGGAGUAUCUGCUUGGGUUCUGACAAAGGAGCGGAGAAGGGACCCCUGGUUGUGGUCAUUAGCACAUAAUGCAUUCUUGCUCAUCCUAAGAGGCCCUUGAUAAUUGGAAAGCUAUUUUAGCUACAAGCACUUAAAUCAUAAAUUUACUACCUAAGAGUAGCAACGUAAAGUGUUUUUGUUAAGAAGUAUCUGUUCUGCUCUUUGAAGGUGGUGGCAGAUGAGGCUGUUGGUAAUGACAUUUGGGAGAAGUGGCAGGUUGAAGCAUUUGUUUUAGAAUCAGAUGGGCACCCUCUUUUUCUGUCAACAUUGCUCAGCCUUCCUUCUGCAUUCACCAGGCC